GAAAAUAUCUUAUACUUCUUUCUAUUCAAUCAUCCUUGACUCCGAAAGUGCCUCUUAUUUUCUUUUGGUGGAACAGUGGAAAAAAAAUAUCACACUGGAAGGCCAAUUGACUGAAAUCAAGUCCCUUUUCCUAACUGUGUGAACUGGGUCCUUCACAUCACUAUCCUUCAACAACAAGAAAAACAAAAAACAUCCUAUAAAUGUAUAAAGAAGAAAAUGAAAGUUCUUUCUUUGCUACCCCUAGUUCUCUUCCCCUUCCUAGAGGCUAAACUAUUUUGUGUGCAUGUGUGUGUGUGUGUAGAAUGUACACAUAUAUGUAGGGGAUUGGUUCUAGGACUCUGUCCCCUGUGAAUACCAAAAUUCAGGGACGCCUAAGUUCCUUAUAUAAAAUGAUGCUUAUAACCUACGCACAUCCUCCUGUAUACUUUAAAUAAUCUUGAUUACUUAUAAUAUCUAAAACAGUGUAAAUGCUAUGUAAAUAGUUGUUAUACUGUAUUGUUUAGGAAAUAAUGACAAGAAAAAAGUCUGCACAUGGUCAGAACAGAUUCAACCAUUCUUUUUUUAUAUAUUUUUUUCUGAAUAAUUACAAUCCAUGGUUUGUUGAAUCCACAGAUGCAGAACUGGUGGAUAUGGAGGGCUGACUGUAUACAUGUAUCUUCCCCAUAUAAAUAGAACAAUAUUUUAUAUACUGUUCUUCAAAUGGCAUUUUCCCUUUGAAGCUCUUUUCAAAUAUGUAAAAAUCUAUUUUUAAAAACUGCUGCACAGUAGCUCAUAGAAUGAAUCUACCAUAUUUCCUUUACUCUUUCCCCUCUUGGUGGUCCUUUAGGUGGUGUUUGGUUUUUUUCUAUUAUAAAUAGUGUGCAAUGACCAUGCUUGUAAGUGCUUCUAUACUCAUAUAUGUUUCUCUGAGCACAGAUGCCUAGAUCUAGAAGCCAAACAGAUGGGUUGAAGGUGAUACCUAAUUUUAACAUUUGAUGACUCCUGCCAAAUUACCCUCUGAAAAGAAUUUAACAAUUUAUAUUCCUUCCACAUCAUUGCCUCUUUCCCCACAUCAUAAUGUAAGUCUUCUUAUUUUUUACUCACCAAAGGGAGAGAAAUAUUUACUGUUUAAAACUGAGCACCUUUUAAACUGCUUUUCUUUCUUUAUUGGCUUAACUCUUCAAGAUGUGUCUUUUUUCUGAUUGGACUAUUGUUUUUAUCUUUACUGGCUUUUAGAAGCUCUUUAUAUAAUCUGGAUAAUAAGCUUUCGUCAUCAAUAUAUGUUGCAGAUAUUUCCUCUCAGUGUGUCAUCAGAUUUUGUAUUUAUGUCUAUUUAUUAUGUCUGUGACCAUACAAAUUAUUAAAUUUCUUAUAAGGUUAGGCUAAGCUUCUUUCUUUAUGAGUUAAUGGGGGUUGUCUGUCUUAGAAAGGAUCUCUCAUUCCAAACCUUAAAACUAUUCUCCUAAUAAUUUUAGAUUUGUUCAACUGAGAGAGUGCUUAACUCAGGAGAUCAAUAAAGGUUCAUAGAGGAAGAAGUAUUUGAAAUUGUCCUGGAAGAACAAUAUUUUUCAACAGGCAGAGAUGGAGAAAGGACAAUCUACAUGAACAGAACAGCAUGAGCAAAAAGAACUGGUUAGAGACUAUCCAUAGGAUAAAUUUCUAGCAAAUUGCUGAGUCCAGGAUAUGCAUGUUUGCAAUUUUGGAAGAUCUUAAAAACUUGCCUCCUAUAGGUGUUGUACCAGUAUAUACUUCUGCCAGUAAUAGAUGGGUGGGCUGCUGAUGCCUCAAAAUAGAUGAAGGUAGACCUUAUUUUGAAAAAUAUUCAAAUUGUCAUAAUUAAAUUCAAAUUAUUGGAAGAAGGAAAGAGGAGCUACCACGGGAGUGUCAGAAGAUUCUGCUUAAACAGAAUUUCAGUGCUCACUGCUUCAUCUUCAAAAAUUUGAUCCUGAAACCUGUGAACUCAGCUUAUACUGUGUUAAUUUACACAUAGUCAUAUUAUUUUGUACUGUGGCUGCAGAUUAAUGCUGCUUUAAACUCAUUUUAAAAUACCACUUUAAAAAUUAACACC
ensembl:lncRNA novel transcript